rnacentral:rRNA from 1 species
UACGGGGGGGGCAAGCGUUGUUCGGAAUUACUGGGCGUAAAGGGCUCGUAGGUGGCCAACUAAGUCAGACGUGAAAUCCCCAGGCUCAACUUGGGAACUGCGUCCGAUACUGGCAGGCUUGAAUCCGGGAGAGGGAUGCGGAAUUCCAGGUGUAGCGGUGAAAUGCGUUGAUAUCCGCAGGAACUCCGGUGGCGAAGGCGGCGUGCUGGACCCCUUCUGACGCUGAGGCGCGAAAGCCAGGGGAGCGAACGGG